GUCUAGAUGAAGAGUCCCAAAUGGGACGAAAUGUGCAUCCUGGAU
rnacentral:hammerhead_ribozyme from 1 species